GAGGGGUAACAAAAACAGAGUGAGUCGGUCUAAUGUACAUAGUAUAUUAGUAUGGAUGUAUGUAUAUAGUUUAUGAAAUAGCAAAAAGGAUUCAAAUUAUUUUUGGAUAUUUAAUUCAAAACCCCAUUAUACAUGUAAAAUUUUCAUGAGUUAGAGAUAUAAUGCUUUGAAUGAAUUUGUAGUUAUGUUUUCAAACAAUUACCUUAAACCAACCAUAAAUUGUGGGUGCCACAAAGAAGCCUCCAUAUAGACUAAAACGCAGAACGCGCCACCAAUCGUAAUUUCCUUAAAAAAUAAUUCGGUAAAGAGCUUUAUAACGAAACUUUCAUUUAAUUUUAAAUUUACCCCAUCGUUUUCCCUCAAACGUUUGUUGAAUUAAACUGCUUGUUGGCCAUAUGAAACUGUAGGAAAUCAUACCCCUCACAAUCGGAUAUUUCGUUAUUAAUACUUUGAAUUUCUGUAGGAGCAUAGACAUUUUACUACUUUUUUGUUGUGCUAAAAUAAGGAAAUUGUUUUUGUUUUUCAUGAGAACCCUUAUGAAUUUUAAAAAGCACAAGCGGUUACAAACGUUGACCUUGAUUAGACGUUUGAAUGCAAAAGGGCGGGUAGAAAAGUUUAGCUAUACUCAUAUUAUCAAACCUUCAGUGAAAACGGUACCUACAUAUUUACGUGUUUAUGUAUGUACAUACAUAUGUAGGGUAUGUAUUGUUUGGUGUUAACAAUUUGUAUCUUGAAACCUAAUUUCGCAAAUGUAAAGGCUUUUUAUAAAAACCUUUGGUAAACUGUAACACAUUAUCAGAACGGUCGUGAAUUUCUAACUGGGAGCGUAAUGGAAAUUAAACAAUGCUUUUUACUGGCGCUUUUUGUAUGGGCUUUUGAAUAUUCCGAGGGUUUCGAUAGUAAAAUUGUAAAUGGUUCGAUGGCUUUGCCUGGCGAAUUUCCAUUUAUGGUAUCACUGAGACAUGCAUCUUCAGGUCGUCACUCCUGUGGUGCGUCUCUCUUGAACCGCGUUUGGGUUUUAACUGCUGCCCAUUGUGUGGUUAAAUCAAAUCCGAAACAAAUAAAUAUUCAGUACGGUAGCAUUGAAUUGGAUCAGAAUUCAACGGAUCUGGCAAAUGUAUCAAAAAUAUUUGUCCACGAAGGCUAUAACCCAGCCAAUCAAUAUAUACAUGACAUUGCUUUGUUGAGAUUGGAAAAGCCGGCCACUGUAGAAAAAGAUUUUGUCGGCGUUCGAUUGCCAGAAUUGAAUGCCUCCACUGACAAUCAAACACCAGUUACGUUAAUCGGCUGGGGCUUAAACGCGACGGGAGGAGUAGUACAGCAGUUAUUGCAAAAAGUCGAUUUGGAAAUAUUUGACGAUGACGAAUGCAGUAAAAGGCAUGGUGUACAGAUGCAUUCGACAACUAUUUGUGCCGGUGUGCCAGAGGGCGGCAAAGGACAAUGCAGUGGUGAUUCUGGUGGUCCUUUACUAUUGAAUGGUACUCAAGUUGGAAUUGUUUCGUGGUCUCGUAAACCUUGCACAAGACCUCCAUAUCCAGGAGUUUUUACUGAAGUAUCCGCAUACGUUGGAUGGAUUUUGGAAACAAUUCUUGACGCUGAAGACGAUGAAGAAGACAAUACCGAAGGACUCGAGCAAAUAUUAAGUGGAAAUUUAAUAAUAGUAUCACUGCGUUUAAAAAAAUCCAAAAAACACUUUUGUGCUGGAACCAUCAUAAAGAACAAUUUGAUUUUAACAGCUGCACACUGUUUUACUUACGUUAAAAAGGCCGAAGAGUUCCUGAUUCAGUACAACUCCACUCUUCUCAAUCCUAUACAGCCACAAUAUGCAGUUGCAUUGGAUAUAAUAAAACACGAGGGAUAUAAUCCAACCAUCGCAAUACAUGAUAUAGCACUAGUCAGACUGAAAGAAUCUAUCAGCUUAUCUACGAAUUUAUAUAAAGUAAAAUUGGCCGAUGAUUACAACGCGAGCUUUGAAAAUAUCACUGGAACCUUGGUAGGAUGGGGUUUAAAUGAGACCAAUGGCGCACUUGCAGUUGAAUUAGAAAAGGUAAACUUGGAAAUAGUCGCGUUAGAAGAAUGUCGCAAUCAACUGAAAUCUAUCAUUCACAUUUCAAAUCUGUGUGCUGGAGGAGUUGAGAACGGUCAAUGUUCCGGAGAUUCUGGAGGACCAUUAUUGUAUGCAAAUAGGCAGAUUGGUAUAGUUUCAUGGAGCUUCAAACCCUGCGCUUCAAAGCCGGGUAUUUUUACUAAUUUAUCGUAUUAUACUCAAUGGAUACAGGAAAAAGUUAAAUCAAAAACGAUUUGACUUAAACAAACCUUUUAGAAUACCUAAGAAACCAAAGAACAACAGGAGGUAAUUAAUUUUAAAUUAAAGGAUGAAACCGAAACUCUUUCAGAACGCCCAAACAUACUACAAAAAUUCCUACUAAUUACUGAU